UACGGGAGGCAGCAGUGGGGAAUAUUGGACAAUGGGGGGAACCCUGAUCCAGCCAUGCCGCGUGUGUGAAGAAGGCCUUUUGGUUGUAAAGCACUUUAAGCGAGGAGGAGAGGCCCUAGGUUAAUACCCUGAGUGAUUGGACGUUACUCGCAGAAUAAGCACCGGCUAACUCUGUGCCAGCAGCCGCGGUAAUACAGAGGGUGCGAGCGUUAAUCGGAUUUACUGGGCGUAAAGCGUGCGUAGGCGGCCAUUUAAGUCGGAUGUGAAAUCCCCGAGCUCAACUUGGGAAUUGCAUUCGAUACUGGGGAGCUAGAGUAUAGGAGAGGAAGGUAGAAUUCCAGGUGUAGCGGUGAAAUGCGUAGAGAUUUGGAGGAAUACCGAUGGCGAAGGCAGCCUUCUGGCCUAAUACUGACGCUGAGGUACGAAAGCAUGGGGAGCAAACAGGAUUAGAUACCCUGGUAGUCCAUGCCGUAAACGAUGUUUACUAGCCGUUGGGGCCUUUGAGACCUUAGUGGCGCAGCUAACGCGAUAAGUAGACC
rnacentral:rRNA from 1 species